rnacentral:rRNA from 1 species
UGGGGAAUAUUGGACAAUGGGCGCAAGCCUGAUCCAGCAAUACCGCGUGUGUGAAGAAGGCCUGAGGGUUGUAAAGCACUUUCAGGGGGGAGGAAAGGUACGCAAGUAUUUUGACGUUACCCCCAGAAGAAGCACCGGCUAACUCUGUGCCAGCAGCCGCGGUAAUACAGAGGGUGCGAGCGUUAAUCGGAAUGACUGGGCGUAAAGCGCGCGUAGGCGGUUAUACAAGUUGGGUGUGAAAUCCCUGGGCUCAACCUAGGAAUUGCAUUCAAAACUAUAUGACUUGAGUGAAGUAGAGGUGAGUGGAAUUUCCGGAGUAGCGGUGAAAUGCGUAGAUACCGGAGGGAACACCAGUGGCGAAGGCGACUCACUGGGCUUUAACUGACGCUGAGGUGCGAAAGCGUGGGGAGCAAACAGG